rnacentral:rRNA from 1 species
GACGAACGCUGGCGGCGUGCUUAACACAUGCAAGUCGAACGGAAAGGCCCAGCUUGCUGGGUACUCGAGUGGCGAACGGGUGAGUAACACGUGGGUGAUCUGCCUUGCACUCUGGGAUAAGCUUGGGAAACUGGGUCUAAUACUGGAUAUGACCGCUGAUCGCAUGGUUGGUGGUGGAAAGCUUUUGCGGUGUGAGAUGGGCCCGCGGCCUAUCAGCUUGUUGGUGGGGUAAUGGCCUACCAAGGCGACGACGGGUAGCCGAACUGAGAGGGUGAUCGGCCACACGGGGACUGAGACACGGCCCAGACUCCUACGGGAGGCAGCGGUGGGGAGUAUUGCACAAUGGGCGCAAGCCUGAUGCAGCGACGCCGCGUGAGGGAUGACGGCCUUCGGGUUGUAAACCUCUUUCGCCAGGGACGAAGCUUUUGUGACGGUACCUGGAGAAGAAGCACCGGCCAACUACGUGCCAGCCGCCGCCGUAA